rnacentral:misc_RNA from 1 species
UUUCCGUAGGUGAACCUGCGGAAGGAUCAUUAAAAAUGAAGCCGGGAAACCGGUCCUUCUCACCCUUGAUUAUCUCAAUUUGUUGCUUUGGUGGGCCGCGCAAGCACCGGCUUCGGCUGGAUCGUGCCCGCCAGAGGACCACAACUCUGUAUUAUAUGUCGUCUGAGUACUAUAAAAUGGUUAAAACUUUCAACAACGGAUCACUUGGUUCUG